GGGCUGACCAUGCAUGAGGCGGAAGACCUGUGGUGUUGGAACUGGCACCAGGACAGCAGGCUCCUGGGAUACAGGAACACAGCCAGGGUGUGAGAGGUCUUUGGAAAUUUCUUCUCAGAGGGGCAGAGAAGAUUCUUCAUCCGCACCACAGUGCUGGCCAUCCAUGACCCCCUGCUGCGUGUCAGCCAUGCUGGGCUGCUCCUCACCUACUCCCUCCUGGGGGAUGCCCAGCAGCUGACAGGGGACACGCAGGAGGAUGUCAUGGCCAAAGUGAUGUGCCGGAUGAUGUGUAGCUGGCUCUUGCGCCAGGUGCCUGAGGCACUGCAGGGGCUGUGCUUCUGAGGCCACCAGCAACUCCUGCUCCCUGCUGCAGGUACUGCUCUGGCUCACUGUAAAUGGAGAGCUAGUGGAAGGGGAAAUGUAGCCCCCUGGCACUCACAAAAACUCUUUCCCCCUCUGUGGAGCAGGGUCCUUCCCUCUGCCCCCCAAAUUCCUUCAUCUGGGGCAGGAGCUCUUUCCCUCACACCCAUUUCCCUCCCCUGUUUCCUUGGUCUACCUCCAUCCCAUUCCUCCUGCUCCCAGGCAAAGCUCUCCCUGCCCCAUAUGGUGCAGAGGGGCCAUUGUGUCAGGGCCACAGUCCCUAGCCCCACUGAAGCUCAGAAAGCUCCACUUUUGAGGAGGUGGGGGUGGGACAGAGGCUCAGGGCUAGCUUCACCUCCUGCCCUUUAUUUUCCCCUUGGCUCUUCUACGGGGUCUAUGGGUGUGAAAUGAAUAGGAGCCUCCUUCCCAGCUGUCUUCCAGGCCCUGGAAUCUGUCACAGCCUCCCAGAUGGGCACAGGCUGCAGCUGAGCCACCUCUGGGAGCAGUGGGGACAGGUCACCUCGUCCCAUCAAAGCAAGCAAUUCUGGGUCUCCAAGAGGCUUAGAUGGAAGACCCCACUCUCUCAUGGA